AGCAGCCGCGGUAAUUCCAGCUCCAAUAGCGUAUAUUAAAGUUGUUGCAGUUAAAAAGCUCGUAGUUGAAUUUCGGGGUUAGUAGGUUGGUCGUGCCUCAGGUAUGUACUGGUCUCACUGAUUCCUCCUUCCUGAUGAACCGUAAUGCCAUUAAUUUGGUGUUGCGGGGAAACUGGACUGUUACUUUGAAAAAAUUAGAGUGUUUAAAGCAGGCUAACGCUUGAAUACAUUAGCAUGGAAUAAUGAAAUAGGACGUUCGAUCCUAUUUUGUUGGUUUCUAGGAUUGACGUAAUGAUUAAUAGGGAUAGUUGGGGGCAUUAGUACUCAAUUGUCAGAGGUGAAAUUCUUGGAUUUAUUGAAGACUAACUACUGCGAAAGCAUUUGCCAAGGAUGUUUUCAUUAAUCAAGAACGAAAGUUAGGGGAUCGAAGACGAUCAGAUACCGUCGUAGUCUUAACCAUAAACUAUGCCGACUAGGGAUCGGAUGAUGUUAAUUUUUUAAUGUACUCAUUCGGCGCCUU
rnacentral:rRNA from 1 species